rnacentral:rRNA from 1 species
UACGUAGGGGGCAAGCGUUGUCCGGAUUUAUUGGGCGUAAAGAGCGUGUAGGCGGCUUUGCAAGUCCGUUGUGAAAACUCGAGGCUCAACCUCGAGACGCCGGUGGAAACUGCAAAGCUAGAGUCCGGAAGAGGAGAGUGGGAUUCCUGGUGUAGCGGUGAAAUGCGCAGAUAUCAGGAAGAACACCCGUGGCGAAGGCGGCUCUCUGGGACGGUACUGACGCUGAGACGCGAAAGCGUGGGGAGCGAACAGG